rnacentral:rRNA from 1 species
UGGGGAAUAUUGCACAAUGGGGGAAACCCUGAUGCAGCGACGCCGCGUGAACGAAGAAGGUAUUCGUAUCGUAAAGUUCUGUCCUAUGGGAAGAUAAUGACAGUACCAUAGAAGAAAGCUCCGGCUAAAUACGUGCCAGCAGCCGCGGUAAUACGUAUGGAGCGAGCGUUGACCGGAAUUAUUGGGCGUAAAGGGUACGCAGGCGGUUUAAUAAGUCGAAUGUUAAAGAUCGGGGCUCAACCCCGCAAAGCAUUGGAAACUGAUAAACUUGAGUAGUGGAGAGGAAAGUAGAAUUCCUAGUGUAGUGGUGAAAUACGUAGAUAUUAGGAGGAAUACCAGUAGCGAAGGCGACUUUCUGGACACAAACUGACGCUGAGGUACGAAAGCGUGGGGAGCAAACAGG